rnacentral:rRNA from 1 species
AUUGAACGCUGGCGGCAGGCCUAACACAUGCAAGUCGAGCGGAUGAAGGGAGCUUGCUCCUGGAUUCAGCGGCGGACGGGUGAGUAAUGCCUAGGAAUCUGCCUGGUAGUGGGGGAUAACGUCCGGAAACGGGCGCUAAUACCGCAUACGUCCUGAGGGAGAAAGUGGGGGAUCUUCGGACCUCACGCUAUCAGAUGAGCCUAGGUCGGAUUAGCUAGUUGGUGGGGUAAAGGCCUACCAAGGCGACGAUCCGUAACUGGUCUGAGAGGAUGAUCAGUCACACUGGAACUGAGACACGGUCCAGACUCCUACGGGAGGCAGCAGUGGGGAAUAUUGGACAAUGGGCGAAAGCCUGAUCCAGCCAUGCCGCGUGUGUGAAGAAGGUCUUCGGAUUGUAAAGCACUUUAAGUUGGGAGGAAGGGCAGUAAAUUAAUACCUUGCUGUUUUGACGUUACCAACAGAAUAAGCACCAGCUAACUUCGUG